GUUAUUCGAGGUGGUAAAUUCCGUUGUAAUCACGCACCCUUGAGGGUUAAAAGAGAUGCAGGAGAGGCGACGCCUGCCGGAUAAC
rnacentral:ncRNA from 1 species